AGAGUUUGAUCCUGGCUCAGAACGAACGCUGGUGGCGUGCUUAACACAUGCAAGUCGAACGAGAAAAUUUCCUUCGGGAAACUAGUAAAGUGGCGCAAGGGUGAGUAACACGUGAAUAAUCUGCCCUCGAGAUCGGGAUAACAUGGUGAAAACUAUGCUAAUACCGGAUAAGACCACAUUUCAUAAGAAAUGCGGUAAAAGGAGUCUCAAUCUUCACUCGAGGAUGAGUUCGCGCAACAUUAGCUUGUUGGUGAGAUAAAAGCUCACCAAGGCUACGAUGUUUAGCCGGCCUGAGAGGGUGAUCGGCCACACUGGAACUGAGACACGGUCCAGACUCCUACGGGAGGCAGCAGUGGGGAAUAUUGCGCAAUGGGCGAAAGCCUGACGCAGCAACGCCGUGUGAGCGAUGAAGGCUUUAGGGUCGUAAAGCUCUGUCAAAUGGGAAGAAUUUUGACGGUACCAUUAGAGGAAGCCCCGGCUAACUCCGUGCCAGCAGCCGCGGUAAUACGGAGGGGGCAAGCGUUGUUCGGAAUUAUUGGGCGUAAAGCGUAUGUAGGCGGCUAAGUAAGUCAGGCGUGCAAGCCCGUGGCUCAACCACGGAAUUGCGUUUGAAACUGCUUAGCUUGAGUACAGGAGAGGAAAGCGGAAUUCCCAGUGUAGCGGUGAAAUGCAUUGAUAUUGGGAAGAACAUCUGUGGCGAAGGCGGCUUUCUGGUCUGUUACUGACGCUGAGAUACGAAAGCCAGGGGAGCGAACGGGAUUAGAUACCCCGGUAGUCCUGGCUGUAAACGAUGGGCACUAGGUGCAGGAGGUAUCGAUCCCCUCUGUGCCGUAGCUAACGC
rnacentral:rRNA from 1 species